UACGUAGGGAGCAAGCGUUGUCCGGAAUCAUUGGGCGUAAAGCGCGCGCAGGUGGCCUCAUAAGUCCGCUGUGAAAGUCAAAGGCUCAACCUUUGAAAGCCGGUGGAUACUGUGAGGCUAGAGUACGGAAGAGGCGAGUGGAAUUCCUGGUGUAGCGGUGGAAUGCGCAGAUAUCAGGAGGAACACCAAUAGCGAAGGCAGCUCGCUGGGACGUUACUGACACUGAGGCGCGAAAGCGUGGGGAGCGAACAGG
rnacentral:rRNA from 1 species